rnacentral:rRNA from 1 species
AUGAACGCUGGCGGCGUGCCUAAUACAUGCAAGUCGAGCGAACAGAUGAGGAGCUUGCUCCUCUGACGUUAGCGGCGGACGGGUGAGUAACACGUGGAUAACCUACCUAUAAGACUGGGAUAACUUCGGGAAACCGGAGCUAAUACCGGAUAAUAUAUUGAACCGCAUGGUUCAAUAGUGAAAGACGGUUUUGCUGUCACUUAUAGAUGGAUCCGCGCCGCAUUGGCUAGUUGGUAAGGUAACGGCUUACCAAGGCAACGAUGCGUAGCCGACCUGAGAGGGUGAUCGGCCACACUGGAACUGAGACGCGGUCCAGACUCCUACGGGAGGCAGCAGUAGGGAAUCUUCCGCAAUGGGCGAAAGCCUGACGGAGCAACGCCGCGUGAGUGAUGAAGGUCUUCGGAUCGUAAAACUCUGUUAUUAGGGAAGAACAAAUGUGUAAGUAACUAUGCACGUCUUGACGGUACCUAAUCAGAAAGCCACGGCUAACUACGUG